rnacentral:tRNA from 1 species
GCGCGCUUAGCUCAGCUGGUUAGAGCGCCUCUCUUACAAAGAGGAGGUCCCAGGUCCGAGUCCUGGAGCGCGCACCA